AACGAAGGUGGCAAGCGUUGUUCGGAAUUACUGGGCGUAAAGAGCACGUAGGUGGUUUCGUGUGUCGAUGGUGAAAUCCUGCAGCUCAACUGUAGAACUGCCGUCGAAACUACGAGGCUAGAGGACAGGAGGGGAGAGUGGAAUUCCUAGUGUAGCGGUGAAAUGCGUAGAUAUUAGGAGGAACGCCGGUGGCGAAAGCGACUCUCUGGACUGUUUCUGACACUGAGGUGCGAAAGCUAGGGGAGCAAACAGGAUUAGAUACCCCCGUA
rnacentral:rRNA from 1 species